rnacentral:lncRNA from 1 species
UUUAAAGGUCAUGACACAACAGCAAGUGCCCUCAGUUGGAGUAUAUACAGUUUAGGUAAACAUAAAGAUAUACAGGAUAAAGUUUAUAAAGAGGUCAGAGAGGUCGUUGGAGAUAAACAAUAUAUUGACAGGUACUUAUUGAAAUAUAUUGUUUGAUAUUAAUAAAUAUAUAUGGAGGACUCUGAACCACGAUGGUACUCUGAACUGCAAUGGUCAGGCUGAGGUGUGAUGGUUGCAUUGUAAUGUUAUCUUGUUGAAAGCUACACUGAAGUGCGAUGGUGCAGUAACGUUGAAGUGCAUUAAUUUUCAAAGCUUGUCAUGUUGAUGUAGAAGUCAAUUUGUAUGUUUACAGCAGUUUUCACGUUUUAAAGUUAAUUAACGUAUAAUAAACUUUUAAUAGUACAAGAAACAGGGAGAAUUUGUGAAUAUGGGAAAGUUAACCAUCUGUUGUGAUAAUUUUUUUUAAAUCAACAGAAUGUUCCUUUUAAGUAAGAUGAAGUGUGGCCUUUUCUACAUACAUACAGGUCUGCAGACUCUUUAUAGUAAAAUAACAGUAAACGAGAGGAACAAAGUAAAGAUAAAAAAUUUGGUCCUGAUGCAGGACAUCAAAGAGUCUCAUUUAGAAUGCACCUGAAACUAAGAACAUACAUAGACAAUAAUAAACAUAUAUACUGGCUGCUAAAAAUCUACUUCUAAUAAUGAUUGCACAUCUAAAGAUUUAAAGUAGCCAUCAUACGUCUAAUAGACAAUCCCACAUCAAUUAAAUGAUCAUUGCACUUGGGUGUAAAUUAGCCCACUUUACCGUGAUCAUCACAAUUCAUGGUCCCCACGCAACCUCUGAGUCCUACGUAUAUAGCACAAAUUUACAGAUCUAACCAUGCUAACAUUGUUUUGCUGAUGUUUAGACAAAUUAUAUAUACAGAAUGUAUUUUCAGCAUAGUAUCACCAUCACUCCUAGUGAUCCAAUGGAUAAAAUCUGUUUUAGAGUCAUAACUGGUUCAGACUUACUUAUAAUAUAAUAAUUUCUGUGACUGCAUCUUACAUUAAUUUGUAGGAUCCUCAACAAUAGAUGAUUCAGCUGAUCUGUAACAAUUCCAUCUUUAUGCUUUAUAUAUCAUCUAGCUGUGUUACGAUGCUAGAUUAAAACUGAAAAACAAAGGUAACACCCCGCCACCUCUAUUUUUAAGAGCCUAGGUGGUCAAGUGGUAUAGCACAUAGGGCAUAGUGCAAUGUAAUUUGGUGCCAUGAUAUCUCAGUAGCAUGAGUUAGAAAACAGUGUAAGGGAAGAACAAAAAAUCAUAAGGACUAGCAAAUAAGAAAAAAACAUAUAAAAAAUUAUAACAGGAAAAGCUCACAAUUACUGUUAUUUGUUGGAUUUCAAUUUUCAUCGGCUUCGUGGGGACAGGUGAACCACAAAUUCAAAUGUUCAAAAAAUAGCAUAUUUGCAAUGGUCUUUGUAUACAGAGAUCGGUAAAACCAUGAAAAUCAAGUAUCCAUGAAAAUGUAAUUUUUUCAGGAAUCCAUGAACAUUGAUACUCACAAAAAUAAAUGAACCCACAGUGUUAUAUAGGUGUGUACUAGUAGAUAUCUUUUAAAAAAAAAGCCUCAAAAGUAAAAACAAAACAAUUUGUUAAAGAAUGCUCUCUUUGGUCAAUAAUGUCACAGUAACACCCUUUUUAGCUCACCUGGCCCUGCGUCGUCAUCGUCCGUCGUCGUCGUCGUCCGGCGUUAGCUUUUACAAAAAUCUUCUCCUCUGAAACUACUGGGCCAAAUUAAACCAAACUUGGCCACAAUCACCAUUGGGGUAUCUAGUUUAAAAAAUGUGUGGUAUGACCCGGCCAACCAACCAAGAUGGCCGCCAUGGCUAAAAAUAGAACAUAGGGGGAAAAUGUCGAUUUUGGCUUAUAACUCUGAAACCAAAGCAUUUAGAGCAAAUCUGAGACGGGGUAAAAUUGUUUAUUAGGUAAAGAUCUAUCUGCCCUGAAAUUUUCAGGUAAUUCGGACAACUGGUUGUUUGGUUGCUGCCCCUGAAUUGGCAAUUUUAAGGAAAUUAUACCGUUUUUUGGCUAUUAUCUUGAAUAUUAUUAUAGAUAGAGAUAAACUGUAAACAGCAAUAAUGUUCAGCAAAGUAAGAUCUACAAAUAAGUUAAUAUGACUAAAAUGGUCAGUUGACCCCUUAAGGAGUUAUUGCCCUUUAUAGUAAUUUUUUCGAAUUUUUCGUAUAUUUUCUAAUCUUUUACAAAAAUCUUCUCCUUUAAAACUACUGGUCCAAAUUUAACCAUACUUGGCCAUAAUCAUCAUUGAGGUAUGUAGUUUAAAAAAUAUGUUUGGUGACCCUGCCAACCAACCAAAUGGCCGCCAUGGCUAAAAAUAGAACAUAGGGGUAAAAUGUAGAUUUUGGCUUAUAACUCUGAAACCAAAGCAUUUAGAGCAAAUCUGACAACGGUUGAAUUGUUUUUUAAGACAAUAUAUAUCUGCCCCACAAUUUUCAGAUGAAUUGGACAACCGGUUGUUGGGUUGUUGCCCCCCAAUUGGUAAUUUUUAAAGAAAUUUUUGCCUUUUUGGUUAUUAUCUUGAAUACUAUUAUAGAUAAAGAUAAACUGUAAACAGCAAUAAUGAUCAGCAAAGUACGAUCUACAAAUAAGUCAACAUGACCAAAAUGGUCAGUUGACCCCUUAAGGAGUUAUUGCCCUUUAUAGUCAAUUUUUGUAAAUUUUCAUUAAUUUGGUCAAUUUUUGUAAGUUUUUACAAAAUAAUUUCCUCUGUUACUAAUGAACAAAGUGCAUUAUAGAUAAAGAAAAUUGUAAGUAGCAAGAACGUUCAGUAAAGUAAGAACUUCAAACACAUCACCAUGACCAAAACACAAUUUUGUCAUGAAUCCAUGUGUCCUUUGUUUAAUAUUCACAUAGACCAAGGUGAACGACACAGGCUCUUAAGAGCCUCUAGUUUCAUGGAUAUUAUAUUUCAAUAACAUGAAAACUGUUAUCCAAUUUGGAUAAGGUCACAGUGCAUGUAUUUUCUUUCCAUUUAUCAUAUUUCAGAAAUGAAAUACUUCACAAAUUUUUGAAAGAAAUUCUUAGGCAUCACACACAUAUUUGCUUAAUUGUUUUAUUCAAGUUUUUUCUUUUUUUAAAACAUUAAAACUGUGAUUUGGUCAUAAUUUAUGUUGUUUCUUUUCAUUAAAUCCAUGUUUUUCAGUGAUGAUAUUUCCAAAAUGAAGUACUUAAGUAUGUUUGUAAAGGAAGUAUUACGAUGCCAUUCCCCAGUCCCUACAGUUAGUAGAAUGAUAAAGGA